UACGUAGGGUGCGAGCGUUGUCCGGAAUUACUGGGCGUAAAGAGCUCGUAGGUGGUUUGUUGCGUCGGCUGUGAAAUCCCGAGGCUCAACCUCGGGUCUGCAGUCGAUACGAGCAAACUAGAGUGUUGCAGGGGAGACUGGAAUUCCUGGUGUAGCGGUAGAAAUGCGCAGAUAUCAGGAGGAACACCAGUGGCGAAGGCGGCUUUCUGGACGGUAACUGACGCUGAGACGCGAAAGCGUGGGGAGCAAACAGG
rnacentral:rRNA from 1 species